rnacentral:antisense_RNA from 1 species
CUUCAACGAGCCCAGCCAGAGCGGCCGGUCCACCGGGCGGCCCUGGCCGUAGGUGGCCAGCAGUGCCUGUGCCUC